GACGUAGGGGGCCAGCGUUGCUCGGAAUUACUGGGUGUAAAGGGUUCGUAGGCGGUGCGGCAAGUUGGGUGUGAAAUCUCUGGGCUCAACCCAGAGGCUGCUUCCAAAACUGCUGUGCUUGAGUGUGGGAGAGGCGCGUGGAAUUGCAGGUGUAGCGGUGAAAUGCGUAGAUAUCUGCAGGAACACCCGUGGCGAAAGCGGCGCGCUGGACCACAACUGACGCUGAGGAACGAAAGCUAGGGGAGCAAACAGG
rnacentral:rRNA from 1 species